AGAAGAGAAGAGAAGAGAAGAGAAGAGAAGAGAAGAGAAGAGAAGAGAAGAGAAGGGAAGGUUUGGAACAGCAGUUGUAGGGAGUGGUGCUGAGAAUCAAUUGAGUGCCUUGCUUCAGUGAAGAGCAUAGAUUUUGUAGAGAACCCACUCACCACCAUUGAAUAAUUUCCUCUGGUUCCCUUUGGACCAUGAGUAAGAGCAGAGGAAAUAGAUGGUGAGAUUACGAAAAAAAAGUGUGAAAGGAGGGAUGUGUGUGUGUGUGUGUGUGUGUGUGUGUGUGUGUGUGUGUGUGUGACUGACCUCCUUGUUGCUCCUCCCACACUACACUCCAUUUCUCUCCUGACUCCAAAUGUUUUCAUUGUCUGUCUCCUAUUCCUGGAGAUCUGUAGUAGAUCCACUAGCUGUCAUUAAAUAACUUUCUCUAGUUCCCUUUAGAACAUGAGAAGGUGAGAAGGAGCAGAGGAGAUAGAUGGUGAUGGGAGUGUGAGAAAGAAGUAUUAAGUGCAGAACUUUGUCAAGGUGGAGAAAGCACUGGACUAGGAACUAGGGGACCUGAGUGGAGGACAUGACUUGGCCACUAACUAUCUGUAUGGCUAUAGGCAGAUUUCUGGGCCUCAACGUUCUCAUCUCAUAAGGUACGCCUUGCUGGGUGGUCAUACUUUGCCAACAUCUCCCACGUCUCACAAUUGAUUCCAGAGUUCUUCAGAAAGAACACGAUGACUGUGCACUCAAUGGACCCUCUGAAGCUGAGAUGC